UGGGGAAUAUUGCACAAUGGGCGAAAGCCUGAUGCAGCAACGCCGCGUGAGGGACGACGGCCUUCGGGUUGUAAACCUCUUUUAGCAAGGAAGAAGCGAAAGUGACGGUACUUGCAGAAAAAGCGCCGGCUAACUACGUGCCAGCAGCCGCGGUAAUACGUAGGGCGCAAGCGUUAUCCGGAAUUAUUGGGCGUAAAGAGCUCGUAGGCGGUUUGUCGCGUCUGCUGUGAAAACCCGAGGCUCAACCUCGGGCCUGCAGUGGGUACGGGCAGACUAGAGUGCGGUAGGGGAGAUUGGAACUCCUGGUGUAGCGUGGAAUGCGCAGAUAUCAGGAAGAACACCGAUGGCGAAGGCAGAUCUCUGGGCCCGUAACUGACGCUGAGGAGCGAAAGGGUGGGGAGC
rnacentral:rRNA from 1 species